rfam:Cavia porcellus supercont2_6 genomic scaffold, whole genome shotgun sequence.
UGGCACCCAUCGUGGGGCUCCUGGCACAAAGGGCUCAACGAGGGAGCCGUCCUGAGAUGCAUGCAUAAGAAGGGAACUAAGAGUUUUGUGACCAACGCUAUGUGGGAGCCUGCUGCACCACUUGAGUCACGGUAAGUGGACGGUGAUCCCUUUUUUUCCGACAUGGGUCAGGCAUUAAGUGACACUUUGUGUCAGGUUUAAAUAAAGCUUUAAAGACAAGAGGGAAAAAGGCUAAAAAAAAAAAAGAAGAUUUAUUGCAGUACUUUCAAUUUAUUCAUAAGGUUUG